rnacentral:rRNA from 1 species
GAUGAACGCUGGCGGCGUGCCUAAUACAUGCAAGUCGAGCGAAUGGAUUGAGAGCUUGCUCUUAUGAAGUUAGCGGCGGACGGGUGAGUAACACGUGGGUAACCCGCCCAUAAGACUGGGAUAACUCCGGGAAACCGGGGCUAAUACCGGAUAACAUUUUGAACCGCAUGGUUCGAAAUUGAAAGGCGGCUUCGGCUGUCACUUAUGGAUGGACCCGCGUCGCAUUAGCUAGUUGGUGAGGUAACGGCUCACCAAGGCAACGAUGCGUAGCCGACCUGAGAGGGUGAUCGGCCACACUGGGACUGAGACACGGCCCAGACUCCUACGGGAGGCAGCAGUAGGGAAUCUUCCGCAAUGGACGAAAGUCCGACGGAGCAACGCCGCGUGAGUGAUGAAGGCUUUCGGGUCGUAAAACUCUGUUGUUAGGGAAGAACAAGUGCUAGUUGAAUAAGCUGGCACCUUGACGGUACCUAACCAGAAAGCCACGGCUAACUACGUGCCAGCCGCCGCGGUAA